AAAUAAAGUUUAUUCAUUUUUUCUUUUUAAAGUUCUACGCACUCGGUGAUUCUUUUAAAAAAAGGGUAGUCCGGUGCACAAAGUAUGUCGCAUUCAUGUAGGGUUCGAGGAAGGGCAGCACCCCAUGGGAUGUAAUUUAGACAGUUUACUUUAAUGCAAGUAUUAAUGAUUGCUUUCACGGUUCGGACUCAUGACUUAUAGGUCAUACUGAGACAACUUUAUUGUUGGUUCAAGGUUUUACUUGGUGAUUCUACC
rnacentral:lncRNA from 1 species